UCAUAAUUUAAUCAUAAUAUGUAAUAGCUUAAAUCAAUCUUACUGGAUAGUUAUCAUAUAAAUGAUUCAUCUACUUAUAUAUUCAUAUUCUGACCGCAUAGUCGACCUUACUUGAAUAAUGUGAUUUCAAAAUGUCAUCAAUAUUAACGAUUCAAGACAAAAUAUGUUCGCUGUAGUGUCACUUUUUAAUAAUGAUUUUAUGGAAUUUGCUGAUGAAGAUAAAUUCAUACUUUUAUUUAGUAAUAAGAUAAUUUUUUAAUUUUUAAAAUGUUGUGUUCGUCAUCCACAGGCUUUAGUGUCAAAUAUUUUAGAUACAUGUAUCUGGAAAUAGAAAGUUACGUCUAAUUUUUCUCCUAUGUGUGUAUCGUGCAAGAUUACUACGCACCCACGACGGACAAG
rnacentral:lncRNA from 1 species